rnacentral:rRNA from 1 species
ACUCCUACGGGAGGCAGCAGUGGGGAAUAUUGCACAAUGGGCGCAAGCCUGAUGCAGCGACGCCGCGUGAGGGAUGAAGGCCUUCGGGUUGUAAACCUCUUUCAGUAGGGAAGAAGCGAAAGUGACGGUACCUGCAGAAGAAGCGCCGGCUAACUACGUGCCAGCAGCCGCGGUAAUACGUAGGGCGCAAGCGUUAUCCGGAAUUAUUGGGCGUAAAGAGCUCGUAGGCGGUUUGUCGCGUCUGCCGUGAAAGUCCGGGGCUUAACUCCGGAUCUGCGGUGGGUACGGGCAGACUUGAGUGAUGUAGGGGAGACUGGAAUUCCUGGUGUAGCGGUGAAAUGCGCAGAUAUCAGGAGGAACACCGAUGGCGAAGGCAGGUCUCUGGGCAUUAACUGACGCUGAGGAGCGAAAGCAUGGGGAGCGAACAGGAUUAGAUACCCUGGUAGUCCAUGCCGUAAACGUUGGGCACUAGGUGUGGGGGACAUUCCACGUUUUCCGCGCCGUAGCUAACGCAUUAAGUGCCCCGCCUGGGGAGUACGGCCGCAAGGCUAAAACUCAAAGGAAUUGACGGGGGCCCGCACAAGCGGCGGAGCAUGCGGAUUAAUUCGAUGCAACGCGAAGAACCUUACCAAGGCUUGACAUGAACCGGAACGGCGCAGAGAUGUGUCGGCCACUUGUGGCCGGUUUACAGGUGGUGCAUGGUUGUCGUCAGCUCGUGUC